CAGAGGCACCUGCGAUAGCUGCGCGAAAAUCAGUCGCGACCGUUUAAUUGUCAGUACGUUUUCGUAUUCCGCUAUGAACGAUCAACGUGAUUUCAAACGACGCGACGCGACGUGGAAACGUACGCCAUGAAAAGAAGUAAGGAAAAAUGAUAUAACAAUGUAUUGUCACGACCAGGCAGCAUAACAACGGAAAACCGAGUUUGAAAAUGUGUCAAGUCCGGUAUAUAUAAACUUGGCUAAUUACCGACUAGAAACAUAUGAAUGAACACCCAGCAGAAGAUUCAAUUUCGCGAACAGAAACAAUUCGAGACGCUGAAAGAAAAAACCGAUUCGAAACUAGCUUAAAUUGCAACGGAGCACGUUUAUGCAUUCCGAUUCGUUUGGCUGUCGAAGCUUCGAUACUACAGAAACAACAACCAGUUUAUAAGGCAGCCUCUGACCGACAAACAACACGUCUUCCAACGAAACAGAGAUACACCCAUCCUUCAAUUUGUGCAGAGUAUCCGUUCCACGUGGAUUCGUUUUACGCGAUUGAAAAUCGCAUAAAUAAUGUCUGUCAGUAGAAAAGAAAAAAUAUGUACGCAGAUGAUGACUAGCACAACGUAAUGUACUUUUAUCCUAACCUCAUACAGCAUUAUUGUAUACAUUACUGUAUACACUUGUUACUUUUAAAAUUUCUAGAAAAAUAUAUUUUCUGGUCGCGUAAAUUAAAAUCGCAUAAAAAAAGUACCGCGUAAAUGGAGCGACGGGUGUACGCGGUCGUUUGAAACGUUAGCUUCGCCUCUGUUCGAUCGAUUGUUCUCCGACUUUGUAUUGUUCAUGUGGUUCAAGGGUUUCAGGCCGACUCAUCGACCAACUGACUUUUAGAACUCACGAACCAAACAGCCAUCUCCUCAAGCCGAAGAGACACAGAGAGCAGUACGUUUCAUUAUGUCCAAGUAUCCGUUAGAAAAUGACGUUUCUGUUCGAACACGUAUUAUCAUGAAACUAUUGUAACCUCCGUAUAUGCUUACUUCUUCUUGCAUUAAGAUGUUAAAACUAUUUUAAAUCGCCAAAAAUUGUCGCUGUUAUAUAAGAUCAUUUUAAUUAACGAUGUAUGUGCUUUCUGCUCUAUUGUGCUUUGCAAAUAGAUUAGGCUGUUGUUACAAUGAACGCGAAUUCGCGCAAACUAUCGCUCUGAUAACUGAAAGAUCUGAAGACCAUAAUUAGUUCAUUAAUAAGAAUCUAUGUAUGUAUAUACGUACAUAUUUGAUUGCUUUAACAUAUUGAGUUUGUCAGAACGCCAGUUCGAGAAAAUUCGCGUCCACUGUGAACUACAGGUUUAUAGCAGUUUUAAUUAAUUUAAUAAAGAAGUUCCGAAAUGUAUAUUUUUACAUUCCACAUACUAUUUAAUGAAAAAAUCCGUUAUUUCUGCUGCAUUAUGUAAGAAGUAUAUAAUAUGCAUAUUACAGCAACGAACAAUUUUAUCGCGAAACAUUCAUGAUAAUCGUUUUUCCUCUACGUUACUAUCACUAAAUGAUAUAAUUAUAAACAAUAUUUAUCCAUAUCUCUUAUACACGUGUCCAUUCGAUCUAACGUAAAUAACGCUUCUAUAAUAUUCCUCAAAAUGUAAUACUGAAAGGCGAAUGAAUUUACAUGUUACACAACCUAAUAUUAACCUUACGAAAAAUUCAGAAUAAACACAGAAUUUAAUAAUCUUUUUAUUGCUAAAAUUGUUUUGCAUUACCAUACAAAAAAUUCAUAUUUUCAACUGUUUAAAAACAACAAACUUUAAUAAUUGCGAUAAAUGUGUAAUAACAUUUAAGAUGUGAAAAUAGCAUUUAUCGAUUCCUACUUAUUAUGUUACGUAGUGAAGGGAUUAAACUAAUGAAACGACGAUUGAAUAUGUCCUUUUCUGUGCUGUAAUAGAAGAUGUUCAUUGACUGUAUGUAAAGCUAUUUACUAUUUCUCUAUAAUAAUUAUAUAAGUACAUAAUAUUAUGGCAAUAAUAUGAUCAUGAAACGAAUAAUGAUAAUAUUGUGCAGUGAUGAAAUGACAACUGCGUUGAAUACAUUCAGAACUUAAUUCAUACUGUUUUAAAACCUAACUCCGAGUUAGUUUUACAGAAUAUGUGUAGCAAUAUGAACCUCACAGUAUUUCAUGGUAUAAAUAAAUAGGUAUGCAUAAAUUCAAGAAGGAAAUGAUGUACAUGGAAAGAAGAUGAGGGUAAGGAAUCUACCGUGAUGUGAAUAUUACUCGAUUAUUCGUUGAACAGCUACUUGUUGCGCAAUAAUACGACGUAAAUUAGAUAUAAUGAGUACAUUCUAUUCAACAAGUUAUCUAGAUUCAUGCACUUUCUCUUCCUAUUUCAGGCAUAGUUGUCGAUGUUUUAUACUCAACCAAUGUUAUAUUCGGCGUAAAGUAAUUAGUUUUUUAGGAAAAUGUAAUAUGAAUGAAUUUUUUACAAAAGGUACUUUGCUUCAACAAAUUAUUAAAUUUUCUCUCUGUUAUAUUUGGGAAUUAAAGUUUUUUGUGCUAAGGAUCGAGAAUAAAACGAAAAUACAAAGAAUUAUAGUAUACAUAAUUUUCCAUCUAUUACUUUAGAGAGUAAAUACAGAUUAUAGUAAAGAAUGUCCGCCGUGUGGUUUCA